rnacentral:rRNA from 1 species
UACGUAGGUGGCAAGCGUUGUCCGGAUUUACUGGGCGUAAAGAGCGCGCAGGCGGUCGGCCAAGUCGAGUGUGAAAGCCCCCGGCUCAACUGGGGAGGGUCAUUCGAUACUGGUCGACUCGAAGGCAGGAGAGGGAAGCGGAAUUCCCGGUGUAGUGGUGAAAUGCGUAGAUAUCGGGAGGAACACCAGUGGCGAAGGCGGCUUCCUGGCCUGUUCUUGACGCUGAGGCGCGAAAGCUAGGGGAGCAAAUGGG